rnacentral:rRNA from 1 species
GACGAACCGUGCGAGCGUUGUUCGGAAUCACUGGGCUUAAAGGGCGCGUAGGCGGGCUAUCAAGUCCGGGGUGAAAUCCUCCAGCUUAACUGGAGAACGGCCUCGGAUACUGAUGGCCUCGAGGGGGAUAGGGGCACACGGAACUGUGGGUGGAGCGGUGAAAUGCGUUGAUAUCCAUAGGAACUCCGGUGGCGAAAGCGGUGUGCUGGAUCGCUUCUGACGCUGAGGCGCGAAAGCCAGGGGAGCAAACGGG